CACUCCUACGGGAGGCAGCAGUGGGGAAUUUUGGACAAUGGGCGAAAGCCUGAUCCAGCCAUGCCGCGUGCAGGAUGAAGGCCUUCGGGUUGUAAACUGCUUUUGUACGGAACGAAACGGCCUUUUCUAAUAAAGAGGGCUAAUGACGGUACCGUAAGAAUAAGCACCGGCUAACUACGUGCCAGCAGCCGCGGUAAUACGUAGGGUGCAAGCGUUAAUCGGAAUUACUGGGCGUAAAGCGUGCGCAGGCGGUUAUGUAAGACAGUUGUGAAAUCCCCGGGCUCAACCUGGGAACUGCAUCUGUGACUGCAUAGCUAGAGUACGGUAGAGGGGGAUGGAAUUCCGCGUGUAGCAGUGAAAUGCGUAGAUAUGCGGAGGAACACCGAUGGCGAAGGCAAUCCCCUGGACCUGUACUGACGCUCAUGCACGAAAGCGUGGGGAGCAAACAGGAUUAGAUACCCCUGUAGUCCCAUGA
rnacentral:rRNA from 1 species